UACGGAAGCCAGCAGUGGGGAAUAUUGCACAAUGGGCGCAAGCCUGAUGCAGCCAUGCCGCGUGUAUGAAGAAGGCCUUCGGGUUGUAAAGUACUUUCAGCGGGGAGGAAGGCGGUGGAGUUAAUAGCUUCACCGAUUGACGUUACCCGCAGAAGAAGCACCGGCUAACUCCGUGCCAGCAGCCGCGGUAAUACGGAGGGUGCAAGCGUUAAUCGGAAUUACUGGGCGUAAAGCGCACGCAGGCGGUCUGUCAAGUCGGAUGUGAAAUCCCCGGGCUUAACCUGGGAACUGCAUUCGAACUGGCAGGCUAGAGUCUUGUAGAGGGGGUAGAAUUCCAGGUGUAGCGGUGAAAUGCGUAGAGAUCUGGAGGAAUACCGGUGGCGAAGGCGGCCCCUGGGACAAAGCUGACGCUCAGGUGCGAAAGCGUGGGGAGCAAACAGGGAUUAGAUACC
rnacentral:rRNA from 1 species